rnacentral:rRNA from 1 species
GACGAACGCUGGCGACGCGCCUAACACAUGCAAGUCGAACGAGAGAGGAAGAGCUUGCUUUUCCGAUCGAGUGGCGAACGGGUGAGUAACGCGUGAGGAACCUGCCUCAAAGAGGGGGACAACAGUUAGAAACGACUGCUAAUACCGCAUAAGCGCACGGCUCGCAAUCGAGCCGAGGGACAAGGAGCAAUCCGGUUUGAGAUGGCCUCGCGUCCGAUUAGCUAGUUGGUGAGGUAAUGGCCCACCAAGGCGACGAUCGGUAGCCGGACUGAGAGGUUGAACGGCCACAUUGGGACUGAGACACGGCCCAGACUCCUACGGGAGGCAGCAGUGGGGAAUAUUGCACAAUGGGGGAAACCCUGAUGCAGCGACGCCGCGUGGAGGAAGAAGGUCUUCGGAUUGUAAACUCCUGUUGUUGAGGAAGAUAAUGACGGUACUCAACAAGGAAGUGACGGCUAACUACGUGCCAGCCGCCGCAGUAA